UGGGGAAUAUUGGACAAUGGGGGCAACCCUGAUCCAGCGAUGCCGCGUGAGUGAAGAAGGCCUUCGGGUCGUAAAGCUCUUUAGUUUGGGAAGAAGUGUGGUUGAGGAAAUGCGAUCACAUUGACGGUACCGAAAGAAUAAGCACCGGCAAACUCUGUGCCAGCAGCCGCGGUAAUACAGAGGGUGCGAGCGUUAAUCGGAGUUACUGGGCGUAAAGGGCGCGUAGGCGGUGAUAUGAGUGUGAUGUGAAAGCCCCGGGCUUAACCUGGGAAGUGCAUCGCAAACGAUAUGACUAGAGUACAUGAGAGGGUGGCGGAAUUUCCGGUGUAGCGGUGAAAUGCGUAGAGAUCGGAAGGAACGUCAAUGGCGAAGGCAGCCACCUGGCAUGAUACUGACGCUGAGGCGCGAAAGCGUGGGGAGCGAACA
rnacentral:rRNA from 1 species